rnacentral:siRNA from 1 species
UAGAUCUACAUGUUAUUAAGGUC